CAUUGAAAAACCGGUUCACGUACGGUCACUGAAGUUAAGCAACGUCAAGCCUGGUUAGUACAUAGAUGGGUAACUGCUUGUGAAUACCACAUGCUGCAAG